rnacentral:rRNA from 1 species
UACGUAGGGUCCAAGCGUUAUCCGGAAUCACUGGGCGUAAAGCGUGUGUAGGUGGUGUGUUAAGUGAAAUGCGAAAUCUCGUGGCUCAACCAUGUAGACUGUAUUUCAUACUGGCAUACUUGAGGAUGGCAGAGGCAAGUGGAAUUGGUAGUGUAGCAGUGAAAUGCGUAGAUAUUACCAGGAACACCAAUGGCGAAGGCAGCUUGCUGGGCCAUAUCUGACACUGAGACACGAAAGCGUGGGGAGCGAACAGG